UGGGGAAUAUUGGACAAUGGGGGGAACCCUGAUCCAGCCAUGCCGCGUGUGUGAAGAAGGCCUUAUGGUUGUAAAGCACUUUAAGCGAGGAGGAGGGUACUGGUAUUAAUACUACCAGGUACUGGACGUUACUCGCAGAAUAAGCACCGGCUAACUCUGUGCCAGCAGCCGCGGUAAUACAGAGGGUGCGAGCGUUAAUCGGAUUUACUGGGCGUAAAGCGUGCGUAGGCGGCUUUUUAAGUCGGAUGUGAAAUCCCCGAGCUUAACUUGGGAAUUGCAUUCGAUACUGGGAAGCUAGAGUAUGGGAGAGGAUGGGAGAAUUCCAGGGGUAGCGGUGAAAUGCGUAGAGAUCUGGAGGAAUACCGACGGCGAAGGCAGCCAUCUGGCCUAAUACAGACGAUGAGGUACGAAAGCAUGGGGAGCAAACAGG
rnacentral:rRNA from 1 species